rnacentral:rRNA from 1 species
GCUGCUUUACCCGCUUUUACUUGUAACUCUGGCCUCAGAUCAGGUAGGACUACCCG